AUUGAACGCUGGCGGCAGGCCUAACACAUGCAAGUCGAACGAGUGGCGGACGGGUGAGUAAUGUCUGGGAAACUGCCUGAUGGAGGGGGAUAACUACUGGCAACGGUAGCUAAUACCGCAUACAAUCAGAUAUGCCCAGAUGGGUUUAGCUAGUAGGUGGGGUAACGGCAGACCUAGGCGACGAUCCCUAGCGGGUCUGAGAGGAUGACCAGCCACACUGGAACGGAGACACGGUCCAGACUCCUACGGGAGGCAGCAGUGGGGAAUAUUGCACAAUGGGCGCAAGCCUGAUGCAGCCAUGCCGCGUGUGUGAAGAAGGCCUUCGGGUUGUAAAGCACUUUCAGCGGGGAGGCGUUACCAACAGAAGAAGCACCGGCUAACUCCGUGCCAGCAGCCGCGGUAAUAC
rnacentral:rRNA from 1 species